rnacentral:lncRNA from 1 species
GGGUAGAGGAAUUUAUACAAUUUGCACAACGUAAUGAGGGUACAAGUGAUGAUGAAGUGAAGUUUAGAUGUCCUUGUGUGAAUUGUUUGAAUGCGAGAAAGUUGAACGCAACCUAAAUUAGAGAACAUCUUAUCUGUGAUGGUUUCCUAAGAUACUAUACAAUAUGGAUAUGGCACGAAGAAGAAACACACUUUCCGACUGACUCCC